GGAUUUGUUCCAACAGUCUGAUAAAACAUGGUGGAUUGCUAUGAAGUGUUGGGCGUGCAGAGACAUGCCUCACCUGAGAACAUUAAAAAGGCGUAUCGAAAACAGGCACUUAAAUGGCACCCAGACAAAAAUCCUGAAAAUAAGAUGCAGAGCAGAAAUUCAAACAAGUAGCUGAAGCAUAUGAAGUGUUAUCGGAUGCUAAAAAGUGGGACAUCUACGACAAAUAUGGCAAAGAAGGAUUAAAUGUUGGUGGAGGAGGAGGUGGAAGUCAUUUUGACAGUCCAUUUGAGUUUGGCUUCACAUUCUGGAACCCAGAUGAUGUCUUCAGGGAAUUUUUUGGUAGAAGGGACCCGUUUUCAUUUGACUUCUUUGAAGACUCAUUUGAUGAGUCUUCAAAGUUUUGGAAACCCAAGGGGUCCCCAAGGAAGUAGAAGCCGAGGUGCUGGCUCCUUUUUCUCUGCUUUCAGUGGAUUUUCUUCUUUUGGAAGUGGAUUUCCUGCUUUUGAGACAGGCUUUACUCCAUUUGGGUCACUAGGUCAUGGGGGUCUCACUUCAUUCUCUUCAGCGUCAUUUGGCAGUAGUGGAAUGGGUAACUUCAAAUCAAUAUCAACUUCAACUAAGAUAGUUAAUGGCAAAAAAAAGAAAUCACUACAAAGAGAAUUGUGGAGAACCGUCAAGAAAGAGUAGAAGUUGAAGAAGAUGGACAGUUAAAGUCCUUGAUGAUAAAUGAUAAGGAGCACCUACUACGCUUGGAUAACAAGUAA